rnacentral:rRNA from 2 species
UCUGGCGGCAGUAGCGCGGUGGUCCCACCUGACCCCAUGCCGAACUCAGAAGUGAAACGCCGUAGCGCCGAUGGUAGUGUGGGGUCUCCCCAUGCGAGAGUAGGGAACUGCUAGAC